rnacentral:rRNA from 1 species
GACGAACGCUGGCGGCGUGCCUAAUACAUGCAAGUCGAACGCAUUUUCUUUCACCGUAGCUUGCUACACCGAAAGAAAAUGAGUGGCGAACUGCUGAGUAACACUGGGGUAACAUGGCCAUAAGCGGGGGAUAACACUUGGAAACAGGUGCUAAUAACGCAUAAUUCCAUUUACCGCAUGGUAGAUGGCUGAAAGGCGCUUUUACGUCACUGACGCAUUGACCCGCGGUGCAGUAGCGAGUUGGUGGGGUAACGGCCUACCAAGACUGCCAUACAUAGCCGACCUGAGAGGGUGAUCGGCCACACUGGGACUAAGACACGACCCAGACUCCUACGGGGAUCCGCACUAGUAACUCUUCGACAAUGGACGAAAGUCUGACCGAGCAACUCCGCGUGAGUGAAGAAGGUUUUCAUAUCGUAAAACUCUGUUGUUAGAGAAGAACAUGGAUCAGAGUGGAAAGUUCAUCCAUUAACGGUAUCUACCCAGAAAGCCACGGCUAACUACGUG